CAGCAGUUUCCUCACACUGUCGCCACUGGCUCUGCUCCUGGUCCUGUCCCCAGGCUCCGUCUUUGGGUCUCUCUAAUUGUAAGCUUGGGAGCUCCUGUUCCAGGGCUGAAGUUUGUGGGGUGCUUUUGCUUCCAUUCUCUCGUGGAUCACUCACCCUGGGAGAAGCCAACCUUGAAGUCAAGAGACACUCUAUGCGGAAGGAACAAGGCUGCCAACAGCCACGUGAGUGACCCUGGGGUGGAGCCUCUUCCAGUCAAGCCUUGAGAGCACUGCACCUGGCCCACAGCCUCACGGUAACCUCAGGAGACACCUUACCCCAGAGGCACCCAGCGAAGAUGAAGCCACAUCCCUGACCCACAGAACUGUGAGAUAAUAAAUAUUUGUUUUUGUAUUUUAA